rnacentral:rRNA from 1 species
GACGAACGCUGGCGGCGUGCCUAAUACAUGCAAGUAGAACGCUGAAGGAGGAGCUUGCUUCUCUGGAUGAGUUGCGAACGGGUGAGUAACGCGUAGGUAACCUGCCUGGUAGCGGGGGAUAACUAUUGGAAACGAUAGCUAAUACCGCAUAAUAGUAGAUGUUGCAUGACAUUUGCUUAAAAGGUGCAAUUGCAUCACUACCAGAUGGACCUUCGUUGUAUUAGCUAGUUGGUGAGGUAACGGCUCACAAAGGCGACGAGACAUAGCCGACCUGGGAAGGUAAUCACCCACACUUGAAAUAGGACAUGGCCAAGAUUCCUAAAGGAGGCAGCAGUAGGGAAUCUUCGGCAAUGGAAGGAAGUCUGACCGAGCAACGCCGCGUGAGUGAAGAAGGAUGUCGGAUCGUAAAGAUCGGUUGUAAGAGAAGAACGAGUGUGAGAGUGGAAAGUUCACACUGUGACGGUAUCUUACCAGAAAGGGACGGCUAACUACGUG